rnacentral:rRNA from 1 species
UGAACGCUGGCGGCAUGCCUAACACAUGCAAGUCGAACGCGAAAGCGCCUUCGGGUGUGAGUAGAGUGGCGGACGGGUGAGUAACGCGUGGGAAUCUGCCCUGCAGUGGGGGACAACCCGAGGAAACUCGGGCUAAUACCGCAUACGUCUUACGAGAGAAAGGGGGCUUCGGCUCUCGCUGCAGGAUGAGCCCGCGUCCGAUUAGCUUGUUGGUAGGGUAACGGCCUACCAAGGCGACGAUCGGUAGCUGGUCUGAGAGGAUGAUCAGCCACACUGGGACUGAGACACGGCCCAGACUCCUACGGGAGGCAGCAGUGGGGAAUAUUGGACAAUGGGCGAAAGCCUGAUCCAGCAAUGCCGCGUGUGUGAAGAAGGCCUGCGGGUUGUAAAGCACUUUCAGUGGGGAAGAAAAGCUGAAGGUUAAUACCCUUGAGUGUUGACGUUACCCACAGAAGAAGCACCGGCUAACUCC